GGCAAUUUAGGGCAGCUGAAGAUGCAUCUAAUGCGAGUGGGGACAAGGCUAUGAUUUUUUGUUUUGUGGAGUUUACUGAACCCAAAUGUGCUCUCACCGCCAUCGACGCUCUGCAAGAUAAAGGGUGGAUUUUGAUCUAGCUUGAAGGUUUGAUUGAAAAACAUGAAAUAACAUGUAUAGAGUAUUUAUACCGGCGAGGAAAAGAGAGUUCCGACCGAGAGAGUUGCAGUGGCAGUUCGCGGUGACACCGCCGUGCUUGGCGAUGGAGGUGAUGAAGCCUUUUUCUCCUUCUUUCCUCUGCAAUCAUAGCUGCUUAUUAUCAUUCAGCUGAAGCAGCUAUGUCUAAAGGAUCUUUUGAAGACAAUUUCAACCCUUUACCUAUUGACAUUUUUGGUGUAUUGCAAAUUUUGGUUUAAGAUGUACUCUCUUGCUGAUCCAUCUGGACGGAAAACAGCAUUGGUGGCCAUGAGGAACUCCAUAUAUCUAAUCCCUUUGGGUAUUUUGGCAUAUGAUUGGGGCGUGACUUCUGGAUGGUUUUGUCUCGAGUCCACUGCACUUGCACUUGCACUUGCAAUAAGCGCCGCAACGUUUUCAUUUUAUAGAGACCGUACUAAGGAAAGAGCUAGGAGAAUGUUUCAUGCCAGUCUUCUUUAUCUCCCUGUUUUUGGUAUCUCUCCUUAGACAAUGAUACAGUCAUUUAUUCGCUCUAUCCAUCACCAGCAAAUACAUUUUGCAUAUCAUCCCUUUUCUUUCACUCAAAAUGGCUAACUCAGGAAUAUAUGUGAAGAUGACUAAGAUUUCUGAGAUUACUGGCCGAAAAAUUGAUUUUCAAUUGAGAGUUCGAGUAAUUAAUCUCUGGUCUACACCAGAUCGUGCUAAUCCGAGAGAAGAAGGGGCUCUCCACAUGAUUUUCCUUGAUAAAGAUUGUGCUGCAGGUUGAGAAAUUAGAUCUUAUAACUGCUGCUAUGGGACAUGCAUUGGCCACAGAAGGAGGAUUCUGCACCAGAAGUGCGAGAGUUAUAGAUCAUCAAGUUCUUAUAAAAUUGGUACUGCAUCAUCUGUAAAUGCAGCUUACAUAUUUUCCAGAAACAAUCUUUCUCGGCCUGCUAUACAGCUUCCUUGUGCAAGCAAAGCUAUUGUAGGGUGGAUUUUGAUCUAGCUUGAAAGUUUUGAUCAUCUGUUAUAAGAGAUUACUUCUUAUUGGCUACUAGAGAUCGAAUCAGUAAACCUUUAUUUAUGGUUUAAUUGAUUCAAUCCAACCGCUUGAACCAAAUGACUUAAUAAACAAGUAAUUAAUAAAAAUGAAAACAAUGAACCAGUUGAACCAACCAAAUUUCAACUCAGUUCAAUCCGGCAAUCCUCUUCUGUGAUGGUCAUUGUGGCAAUUGUAUGUUCCUAUUUGCAGGAUAAAUUGAGGCACCAGGUUGUUUUUGACACACUCAGGGGUGAUUGGAUGAUUGCCUUUGGAAAUUGGGAAUUUGACCCAAUGAAGCUUAGUAAUCCAUUCCCUCACAAUAACAGAAGUUCAGUUCACAUUUGGCAGGGCUAUGAAGAUAAAGUAGUACCCUCUCAAAUUCAAAGAUUCAUUUCAGAGAAGCUACCAUGGAUACAAUAUCAUGAAGUUGUAGAUGGUGGUCAUUUGAUUGUACAUUAUAGUGGCUUAGGCGAGGCGAUUUUGAAGGCACUUUUACUUGGGGAAGAAGAUAUUUCAUAUAAACCUAGAUCAUCAAAAUCUGUAUCUUAAUUUUGCCAUGACUUUUAUCAUAAUCCAAUGUUUAUUAUUGGUUAAUUUUUUGGAGAAGUGCCAGAUAUUUAAAUCACAUUAUUUGGUUGAAAGGAGGAAACUAUCAUAUACAAUCAUGUAUACUGUCUUUAUUCAUUUUUGAAAGAAAUGUUAGAAACAUGUUUUUUUUU